rnacentral:rRNA from 1 species
AGGACGAACGCUGGCGGCGUGCUUAACACAUGCAAGUCGAGCGGAAAGGCCCUUCGGGGUACUCGAGCGGCGAACGGGUGAGUAACACGUGAGCAACCUGCCCCUGGCUCUGGGAUAGCCUCCGGAAAACGGGGAUUAAUACCGGACAUUCACUUUCUUCCGCAUGGUCGGGAGUGGAAAGUUUUUCGGCCGGGGAGGGGCUCGCGGCCUAUCAGCUUGUUGGCGGGGUAACGGCCCACCAAGGCGACGACGGGUAG